AGUGAACGCUGGCGGUAGGCCUAACACAUGCAAGUCGAACGGCAGCACAGUAAGAGCUUGCUCUUACGGGUGGCGAGUGGCGGACGGGUGAGGAAUACAUCGGAAUCUACUUUUUCGUGGGGGAUAACGUAGGGAAACUUACGCUAAUACCGCAUACGACCUACGGGUGAAAGCAGUGGAUCUUCGGACCUUGCGCGAUUGAACGAGCCGAUGUCGGAUUAGCUAGUUGGCGGGGUAAAGGCCCACCAAGGCGACGAUCCGUAGCUGGUCUGAGAGGAUGAUCAGCCACACUGGAACUGAGACAGGGUCCAGACUCCUACGGGAGGCAGCAGUGGGGAAUAUUGGACAAUGGGCGCAAGCCUGAUCCAGCCAUACCGCGUGUGUGAAGAAGGCCUUCGGGUCGUAAAGCCCUUUUGUUGGGAAAGAACAGCAGCAGGUUAAUACCCCGCUGUUCUGACGGUACCCAAAGAAUAAGCACCGGCUAACUUCGUG
rnacentral:rRNA from 1 species